rnacentral:piRNA from 1 species
UAUACUAGUGUCGUGCUACAUACAGCUUC